GAGAUGCCUUUAUGGGGCAAGACUUGUUUCAGUGGGGCUUUGGUGCUCACUGAGUCUGCUCCCUGAGUGUGUCCCU
rnacentral:pre_miRNA from 1 species